UCUGCCUGGUAGUGGGGGAUAACGUCCGGAAACGGGCGCUAAUACCGCAUACGUCCUGAGGGAGAAAGUGGGGGAUCUUCGGACCUCACGCUAUCAGAUGAGCCUAGGUCGGAUUAGCUAGUUGGUGGGGUAAAGGCCUACCAAGGCGACGAUCCGUAACUGGUCUGAGAGGAUGAUCAGUCACACUGGAACUGAGACACGGUCCAGACUCCUACGGGAGGCAGCAGUGGGGAAUAUUGGACAAUGGGCGAAAGCCUGAUCCAGCCAUGCCGCGUGUGUGAAGAAGGUCUUCGGAUUGUAAAGCACUUUAAGUUGGGAGGAAGGGCAGUAAGUUAAUACCUUGCUGUUUUGACGUUACCAACAGAAUAAGCACCGGCUAACUUCGUGCCAGCAGCCGCGGUAAUACGAAGGGUGCAAGCGUUAAUCGGAAUUACUGGGCGUAAAGCGCGCGUAGGUGGUUCAGCAAGUUGGAUGUGAAAUCCCCGGGCUCAACCUGGGAACUGCAUCCAAAACUACUGAGCUAGAGUACGGUAGAGGGUGGUGGAAUUUCCUGUGUAGCGGUGAAAUGCGUAGAUAUAGGAAGGAACACCAGUGGCGAAG
rnacentral:rRNA from 1 species